UUGAAGUGUGUGUGCAGUUUCCAUAUAGUUUGAAGUGCCUGAACCUGUGUAAACUUGGAAGCUAAGCAGGGUCAGGCCUAGUUGAAAUCUGGAUGGGUGACUUAAUGUUGUGAACCACCCAGAGAAAUCUGGCUAUGAGUGGUGUAGAAAUGUAAGUAGUAGUAGUAGUAGUAGUAGUAGUAGUAAAGCAGCACUGGGAAUCUAGAAAAAUAGUGUCAGGUACCCACUCCAGCACUAUCCCCAAUAGUUUCUCAAGAUUGUGGGGGUGGGGGGGCAGCAAGCUUUCAAACUUGCAUACACCUGCAAAAGGGGGUGGUUCAUACUCUUCCAUCUUCCUGAGCACCUAGCAAAUCAGGAAAGAGUAGAGACAUGAGACUAGCACUCAAAGCAGCAUGGUCAAAACUUGAGGAUUCUGCAGUCAUUCCCCUUUCAUGACAAAAGAUAAGUUGCGGCUUUGGUUUCUCUUCACAACUCACCUUUUGACAGCUGUCAAGACAAGCCAAAGUGAAAAAUAAAGUUCUUGGCAGACCCUCUGGGUCAGAAAUUCCAGAGGUCCUAAUUCAAUCCUUAUCAUAUCCAGGGAGGCUAGUACUACUUGGCAUUAUAUUCAGCUGCAGCAUUUGUUGGAGGCUAUGCAUGGGCGGCCAGUGAUGAGUGCUUCAGUGCUUUUUACACUUUUGGAGGAAUUAAUUGGUCCACCAAAGACAGCUGAGCCCGCCAUAGCUAUAUGCAACAGUUGUUUGGAAUAAAGACAAGCAAGUUAGAGAGGAACAGAAUAGGGA